rnacentral:rRNA from 1 species
ACGAACGCUGGCGGCAGGCUUAACACAUGCAAGUCGAACGAAGUCUUCGGACUUAGUGGCGCACGGGUGAGUAACACGUGGGAAUAUACCUCUCAGUGGGGGAUAACGUCGGGAAACUGACGCUAAUACCGCAUACGCCCUUCGGGGGAAAGAUUUAUCGCUGAGAGAUUAGCCCGCGUCCGAUUAGCUAGUUGGUAAGGUAACGGCUUACCAAGGCGACGAUCGGUAGCUGGUCUGAGAGGAUGAUCAGCCACACUGGGACUGAGACACGGCCCAGACUCCUACGGGAGGCAGCAGUGGGGAAUAUUGGACAAUGGGCGAAAGCCUGAUCCAGCCAUGCCGCGUGAGUGAUGAAGGCCUUAGGGUUGUAAAGCUCUUUCGACGGGGACGAUGAUGACGGUACCCGUAGAAGAAGCCCCGGCUAACUUCGU